UACGUAGGGUGCAAGCGUUAAUCGGAAUUACUGGGCGUAAAGCGUGCGCAGGUGGUUAUGCAAGACAGAGGUGAAAUCCCCGGGCUCAACCUGGGAACUGCCUUUGUGACUGCAUAGCUAGAGUACGGUAGAGGGGGAUGGAAUUCCGCGUGUAGCAGUGAAAUGCGUAGAUAUGCGGAGGAACACCGAUGGCGAAGGCAAUCCCCUGGGCUAGCACUGACGCUCAGGCACGAAAGCGUGGGGAGCAAACAGG
rnacentral:rRNA from 1 species